rnacentral:snRNA from 1 species
AUCGCUUCUCGGCCUUUUGGCUAAGAUCAAGUGUAGUAUCUGUUCUAUCAGUUUGACCUGAUAUGUUCUCCAACGGGAGGACUAUAUAUUAAACGGAUUUUAGCACCGGAGCGGAAAGAGGGCUUGUUCUUUCACUCCAUCGUAGACGAAUUCGGUAAUUGCAGUGCCUUUGGUGAACGGUGCACCCUUC